AGCUCCAAUAGCGUAUAUUAAAGUUGUUGCGGUUAAAAAGCUCGUAGUCGGAUUUCUGCUGAGGUUGAUUGGUCCGCCCUCUGGGCAGGUAUCUGGCUCAACCUUGGCAUUUUCCCAGAGAGCGUGUCUGCACUUGACUGUGUGGUGCGGGGCUUGGGACUUUUACUUUGAGGAAAUUAGAGUGUUUCAAGCAAGCAGUUGCUUUGAAUACAUUAGCAUGGAAUAACAAGAUACAACCUCGGUUCUAUCUUGUUGGUUUCUAGAACUGAAGUUCUUGGUUUCUAGAACUGAAGUAACGAUUAAUAGGGGUAGUUGGGGGCAUUUGUAUUUAAUUGUCAGAGGUGAAAUUCUUGGAUUUGUUAAAGACUGACUACUGCGAAAGCAUUUGCCAAGGAUGUUUUCA
rnacentral:rRNA from 1 species